CGAUCGCCAAUAGAGUCGGUCUGUCGGCACGUCCUGCCUCUAGCAAUGGCCGGUGCUCCCCCGUGCAAGGAGGGAGCAAUGUUUUCCCUCCUGACGGCCGCCGUCUUCGGACAAGGGCCCGUUGUCCCCUAGUGAUACUAGGCGACAAAUCUUUGAAGAAGUAUCGGAGACGCCGUUGCAAAGACAAAGGCAAGAACAUCAUCAUCAUCAUCAUCAGGAUCUACAUGUAAACAAUCAGGCCGCGUGUGACACCCUCAGCCCCACGCUGGCCAGGCGCGGCGCCCCACACACCAGAACACUUCCUGCCACGGCUACACUCCCCCACACCAGCCGCAAGGCAGCCCCAGCCAGGCUCCACACCCUCAGGUCAGCCUGUGACACCCUCAGGGGAAUGCUCACGUUUUUGGGAUUGCUUCAAAGCUUGACGAGACACCUCUCCCAGGCUCCCUCCUUCACGCAGGACCACCCCUGGAGGAGGACUCCCUGGAGCCUGCCAAGGAGUACAGGGAUGCUGACAUCAAUGAGGCUAUACACGAUUAUGAACCAGUUGGUGAAGGGCUGGAGCCUCCUCUGAGCACCCCUGUGUGACAGUACAGCUGGUGAACCCACUCAGGACCAGAAGGUUGAUGAGGGUAAUCUUGAGAGCCAGCACCAGACCCUGGCGCCUCCUCCACCCCGGCCAGGAUCCCUCCCCCAGGGCCCAUGGAGCCACCAGAGGUAAGGCACCAUCAGGCAUCCCUUCCCUGUUUGUAAUUUUUGGAAUGUCUUCAGAAGUGACUUGUUUCAUUUCCUUUUGAUUUCUAUUCAAAGUGAUUUUCCUGUAUUUGAAUUUCAGACCAAGCAUUUUGCAAGGUCUUCAGACAAAGCCUAACAAAAUAUUGUGCCUUCCAUUUUUUUUUCUAUAACCCAAAAAAAAUGUGACUAAUUGUGUAAAAGUGUGCCCAGGUCAUAGCUGGGCACGAUAACAGAAAACCUUAU